rnacentral:rRNA from 1 species
GAUGAACGCUGGCGGCGUGCCUAAUACAUGCAAGUCGAGCGAACGGACGAGAAGCUUGCUUCUCUGAUGUUAGCGGCGGACAGGUGAGUAACACGUGGAUAACCUACCUAUAAGACUGGGAUAACUUCGGGAAACCGGAGCUAAUACCGGAUAAUAUUUUGAACCGCAUGGUUCAAAAGUGAAAGACGGUCUUGCUGUCACUUAUAGAUGGAUCCGCGCUGCAUUAGCUAGUUGGUAAGGUAACGGCUUACCAAGGCAACGAUGCAUAGCCGACCUGAGAGGGUGAUCGGCCACACUGGAACUGAGACACGGUCCAGACUCCUACGGGAGGCAGCAGUAGGGAAUCUUCCGCAAUGGGCGAAAGCCUGACGGAGCAACGCCGCGUGAGUGAUGAAGGUCUUCGGAUCGUAAAACUCUGUUAUUAGGGAAGAACAUAUGUGUAAGUAACUGUGCACAUCUUGACGGUACCUAAUCAGAAAGCCACGGCUAACUACGUGCCAGCAGCCGCGGUAAUACGUAGGUGGCAAGCGUUAUCCGGAAUUAUUGGGCGUAAAGCGCGCGUAGGCGGUUUUUUAAGUCUGAUGUGAAAGCCCACGGCUCAACCGUGGAGGGUCAUUGGAAACUGGAAAACUUGAGUGCAGAAGAGGAAAGUGGAAUUCCAUGUGUAGCGGUGAAAUGCGCAGAGAUAUGGAGGAACACCAGUGGCGAAGGCGACUUUCUGGUCUGUAACUGACGCUGAUGUGCGAAAGCGUGGGGAUCAAACAGGAUUAGAUACCCUGGUAGUCCACGCCGUAAACGAUGAGUGCUAAGUGUUAGGGGGUUUCCGCCCCUUAGUGCUGCAGCUAACGCAUUAAGCACUCCGCCUGGGAGUACGACCGCAAGGUUGAAACUCAAAGGAAUUGACGGGGACCCGCACAAGCGGUGGAGCAUGUGGUUUAAUUCGAAGCAACGCGAAGAACCUUACCAAAUCUUGACAUCCUUUGACAACUCUAGAGAUAGAGCUUUCCCCUUCGGGGGACAAAGUGACAGGUGGUGCAUGGUUGUCGUCAGCUCGUGUCGUGAGAUGUUGGGUUAAGUCCCGCAACGAGCGCAACCCUUAAGCUUAGUUGCCAUCAUUAAGUUGGGCACUCUAAGCUGACUGCCGGUGACAAACCGGAGGAAGGUGGGGAUGACGUCAAAUCAUCAUGCCCCUUAUGAUUUGGGCUACACACGUGCUACAAUGGACAAUACAAAGGGCAGCGAAACCGCGAGGUCAAGCAAAUCCCAUAAAGUUGUUCUCAGUUCGGAUUGUAGUCUGCAACUCGACUACAUGAAGCUGGAAUCGCUAGUAAUCGUAGAUCAGCAUGCUACGGUGAAUACGUUCCCGGGUCU